AUUGAACGCUGGCGGCAUGCUUUACACAUGCAAGUCGAACGGUAACAGGCCUUCGGGCGCUGACGAGUGGCGAACGGGUGAGUAAUGCAUCGGAACGUGCCCAGAGGUGGGGGAUAACGCAGCGAAAGCUGUGCUAAUACCGCAUAUUAUCUGAGGAUGAAAGCGGGGGACUAAGCAGCAAUGUUUGGCCUCGCGCCUUUGGAGCGGCCGAUGUCAGAUUAGGUAGUUGGUGGGGUAAAGGCUCACCAAGCCGACGAUCUGUAGCUGGUCUGAGAGGACGACCAGCCACACUGGGACUGAGACACGGCCCAGACUCCUACGGGAGGCAGCAGUGGGGAAUUUUGGACAAUGGCGCAAGCCUGAUCCAGCAAUGCCGCUGCNGGAGAGCUCGGUGUAACUGCUUU
rnacentral:rRNA from 1 species